rnacentral:rRNA from 1 species
AUUGAACGCUGGCGGCAUGCUUUACACAUGCAAGUCGAGCGGCAGCGCGGGACUCAGGCAACUGAGCCCUGGCGGCGAGCGGCGAACGGGUGAGGAAUACAUCGGAACGUACCCCGGAGUGGGGGAUAACGCCGCGAAAGCGGCGCUAAUACCGCAUAUGCUCUGUGGAGGAAAGUGGGGGACCCGCAAGGGCCUCACGCUCUGGGCGCGGCCGAUGUCCGAUUAGCUAGUUGGUGAGGUAAUGGCUCACCAAGGCGACGAUCGGUAGCUGGUCUGAGAGGAUGAUCAGCCACACUGGGACUGAGACACGGCCCAGACCCCUACGGGAGGCAGCAGUGGGGUAAGUUUUGGUACAAAUGGGGCGAACCCUGAUCCAGCCAUGCCGCGUGCGGGAAGAAGGCC